rnacentral:rRNA from 1 species
UGGGGAAUCUUGCGCAAUGGGCGAAAGCCUGACGCAGCGACGCCGCGUGGGGGAUGAAGGCCUUCGGGUUGUAAACCUCUUUCGGCAGGGACGAAACUGACGUGUACCUGCAGAAGAAGCGCCGGCUAACUACGUGCCAGCAGCCGCGGUAAUACGUAGGGCGCGAGCGUUGUCCGGAAUUAUUGGGCGUAAAGAGCUCGUAGGCGGUUUGUCGCGUCUGCCGUGAAAACCGGGGGCUUAACUCUCGGCUUGCGGUGGAUACGGGCAGACUAGAGUGCGGUAGGGGAGACUGGAAUUCCUGGUGUAGCGGUGAAAUGCGCAGAUAUCAGGAGGAACACCGGUGGCGAAGGCGGGUCUCUGGGCCGCUACUGACGCUGAGGAGCGAAAGCGUGGGGAGCGAACAGGAUUAGAUACCC